CAGCCAAUCAAGUCCAGGAAAGUCAAACUGACAAUGCCCCAUGACACAUGUUUGCUCCCUGUCAAUCGAUCUGCCCGAUCUUCCAUACGCACAACUAAUCUCGCACAUAUCAGUUAAACAUUUGUUUAAGUAGUAAACCUAAUAUCCUAUCGAACAUGCUUGUUACCUACUUAUUUGUUUUAAGAGUCCCAAGCAAAAUUCAUUAAUUAGGCGAAGGUAUGCACGCAUCAUUUCUCUCGGAAUCUUCUUUUCUAAAUUUUACUAACGGAUUUUCCAUUAAGAAGUCGCUUGUUUUAAGUUAGACAAGUCAACAUGGUUCGCCACUGCAACGGCAACACGUGAGAGAGGAGGAAUCGAAGAUGACACUCGGAUCUUUUCAACGGUUCUAAUGCAUCAACUGAGAUUUAAACAAAAAAAAAUUAAAAUCAGG
rnacentral:lncRNA from 1 species